AAUCAGAUCAUGAGCUCUGGUAGACCUAUCAAAUGCGUUGUAGUAGGAGAUGGAACAGUUGGAAAAACAUGUAUGUUAAUAUCAUAUACCACAGACAGUUUCCCUGGAGAAUAUGUACCAACUGUAUUUGAUAAUUAUUCAGCACCCAUGGUGGUGGAUGGAAUUCCUGUAAGCUUAGGACUUUGGGACACGGCAGGCCAAGAAGAUUAUGACAGACUUCGGCCUCUCUCUUAUCCACAGACUGAUGUAUUUCUUAUAUGUUUUUCUGUAACAAGUCCUUCGUCUUUUGAAAAUGUUACUAGUAAAUGGUAUCCAGAAAUAAAACACCACUGCCCAGAUGCACCGAUGAUACUUGUUGGAACUAAAAUAGAUUUACGAGAUGAUCGUGAAACUUUAAUUGCCUUAGCUGAACAAGGACUUAGUGCCAUAAAGAGAGAACAAGGACAAAAAUUGGCUAAUAAGAUUCGUGCUGUAAAAUACAUGGAAUGUUCUGCUCUCACACAACGUGGCUUAAAACAAGUAUUUGAUGAAGCAGUUCGUGCAGUUUUAAGACCUGAACCACAAAAACGUCGACAGAGAAGAUGCAUUAUGUUAUAAAUUACAAGGGAAAUGGAAUCUCACUGAUAUAGGUAAACACUCACAUGAAAUGACAGACUGAAAUUAGUUUGGUCAUAAGAAAGAUACGAUAGAUGUACUAAGAAGAGAUAGCAGCGCAUACAAUUUAAUAAAUUUUUCUGGCAGCUGCAGUUCACCGUGUUACAAAUAAAGUACAAUUUACAACUUCCUGGUCCUAAUAUUCAAUUAUAGGAUGAUAUAUUUAUCAAUGAUAGUACUCUGAGUACAAAUACAUCAAUAACAUAAAUUACACUACUUACAGCUCAUGCAGCUUAAGAAAAGUCGCAUUUUCCUUCUUGUUUGGAUAAUAUCACUAAAAAUGCUAUAAACCAAAGCUAUGUAUUACAAUCUAUUGUAACUUUUACAGUUUUUAUUAUAUACUUUUGCACAUAAGACUAUAAAUGAAUGUAUGAAGUGUAAAAAGAUUCUAGUCACAUCAUGAAUUAUCUUCUGACUUAUUUGUCUGAACAAUGUAAUGAAUUAAUAUUAUGUGUACUGUUGAAUCAUUCUGCAGUAAAAUAAUUUCUAAAUGAAAUAAAAACAUCACAUCAAAAAAGUAUAAUAAGGCAAACAAACAAAUGCGAGAUAUGGCCUAGCUUGAAAUAUUGUCAAUUUACAUGUAACAAUUCAAAACCAAAAAGGAGGAUAAAAAGAAAAAAAAAAAAAUAUACAUGCUAGAAUACGCUUUGUUAUGAAUAAUUUAUAAAAUUUAAUAUCUCUAUCUAUUUUCUUAAAAUUUUCUGUAACAUUAUACAUUUAUUAAUUAAGGCAGUAUAAGAGCACUUAUUAAAUCUUAUGCUAUAAAAGAAUGUUUAACUUAUGAUUAUUAAUCGUAAAUACAAAAUAUACUUUCCUUCUAUUGCAUUAAUAAUUAAUAAUCAAUUAAAUUUAUUAUUUGAUUUUAAACAAUCAUGAAUAUACAUUUAUACAUAUAAAAAAUGUAUUAAAUCUGACAUUUUCAUUUUCCACUUUUUUAUGAGUUUAUUCAAUUUGCAACUCUUCUGCUGCCAGUAAACUGAAAGACGGAGUUAAAUUAUUGUGGCCUAAAGUUAAUUUUAAUUAUCCUAUUUUUUUACACGAAAGUACAUUCUCGAUAAUUAUCACACAGACAACUGAAUCGCAUAAUGGCAUGUUCUACAUGGAAGCAUUUAUUUUUUAUUUAUAUGUAUUUUGAACAAAAUCUUUUUGAAUAAACUAUACAUUAUACAUUA